CGGCAUGCUUAACACAUGCAAGUCGAACGGUAACAGGCCCGCAAGGGUGCUGACGAGUGGCGGACGGGUGAGUAGUACGUAGGAAUCUGUCUCGUAGUGGGGGAGUAACCUAGCGAAAGUUAGGCUAAUACCGCAUACGUCUUACGAGAGAAAGCGGGGGACCUUCGGGCCUCGUGCUAUGAGGUGAGCCUACGUCCGAUUAGCUAGUUGGUAGGGUAAAGGCCUACCAAGGCGACGAUCGGUAGCUGGUCUGAGAGGAUGAUCAGCCACACUGGGACUGAGACACGGCCCAGACUCCUACGGGAGGCAGCAGUGGGGAAUAUUGGACAAUGGGCGAAAGCCUGAUCCAGCAAUGCCGCCGUGUGUGAAGAAGGCCUGCGGGUUGUAAAGCACUUUCGGUGGGGAAGAAGGGGCUGGGGUUAAUACCUCUGGACCUUGACGUUACCCAAAGAAGAAGCACCGGCUAACUCCGUGCCAGCAGCAGC
rnacentral:rRNA from 1 species